GGUAAGACGAGACUGGCGAAGGCAGUUGUGAGGAAACGAAAAGAUCGUUGAGCCGUUGAUGAUGUGGAGCAUAUGGGGGCUUCAGUGGUUCCUACUAUUGAUAUAGUUAGGAAACCUGACCACAAUUUGUUUUUUUCUUUGUUUUUUGCACAGUAGUUGGACGACAUCUUAUUGUUCAUGUAACAGCUAGCGGAUAAAACUUUGACAACAUUUUUUGGACAUAAAAGACUGACAGAUUUUUGGAGAGCAUACAUGAUAGCAGAUUUUUGGAGGGCAUAUAUGUUAACAGCUGAUUUUUUGGAUAUGUUAGACACAGCUUUUGGAACAUAUUUUGUAACUAAUGAAGCUACUUAAGCAUGUUUAUGACGUACAUGAAUAUUUGAGUCAGCUUCGAGUUAGGUACCAAUUAUACCAAUUAUAUUUGCAAAGGGUGGAUAUUUUCAUGUGCGAUGGAAAAGUUCAUUUCUAGAUUUUUGUAUCUAUGUAUCUGCAUAUUUGAACAAAGGCAGCUUUAGACGAAUGCAAUAUAGUGAUGAUGGAUGGAGAUCCCACAACUGAAGAAGUUUAAUUUAUA